rnacentral:rRNA from 1 species
CUCCCGAAGGUUAGCGGCGGAACGGGUGAGUAACACCGUGGGCAACCUGCCUAUAAGACUGGGAUAACUUCGGGAAACCGGAGCUAAUACCGGAUAAUCCUUUUCCUCUCAUGAGGGAAAGCUGAAAGACGGUCUCGGCUGUCACUUAUAGAUGGGCCCGCGGCGCAUUAGCUAGUUGGUGAGGUAACGGCUCACCAAGGCGACGAUGCGUAGCCGACCUGAGAGGGUGAUCGGCCACACUGGGACUGAGACACGGCCCAGACUCCUACGGGAGGCAGCAGUAGGGAAUCUUCCGCAAUGGACGAAAGUCUGACGGAGCAACGCCGCGUGAACGAUGAAGGCUUUCGGGUCGUAAAGUUCUGUUGUUAGGGAAGAACAAGUAUCGGAGUAACUUCCGGUACCUUGACGGUACCUAACCAGAAAGCCACGG